GACGAACGCUGGCGGCGUGCUUAACACAUGCAAGUCGAACGGAAAGGCCCCUUCGGGGGUACUCGAGUGGCGAACAGGUGAGUAACACGUGAGUAACCUGCCCUUGACUUCGGGAUAACUUCAGGAAACUGGGGCUAAUACCGUAUAGGAAUCCUUGCUGCAUGGUGGGGGUUGGAAAGCUUCGGUGGUUUUGGAUGUACUCGCGGCUUAUCAGCUUGUUGGUGGGGUAGUGGCUUACCAAGGCUUUGACGGGUAGCCGGCCUGAGAGGGCGACCGGCCACAUUGGGACUGAGAUACGGCCCAGACUCCUACGGGAGGCAGCAGUGGGGAAUAUUGCACAAUGGGCGGAAGCCUGAUGCAGCAACGCCGCGUGCGGGAUGACGGACUUCAGGUUGUAAACCGCUUUCAGCAGGGGCGAAGCUUGUGGUGACGGUACAUGCAGAAGAAGCACAGGAUAACUACGUG
rnacentral:rRNA from 1 species